GAUGAACGCUAGCGAUAGGCUUAACACAUGCAAGUCGAGGGGCAGCGAGGGUAGCAAUACCUGUCGGCGACCGGCGCACGGGUGAGUAACGCGUAUGUAACCUGCCCGCAACAGGGGGAUAACCCGGCGAAAGUCGGACUAAUACCGCAUAAAACAGGGGUCCCGCAUGGGAAUAUUUGUUAAAGAUUUAUCGGUUGCGGAUGGGCAUGCGUACCAUUAGGUAGUUGGUGAGGUAACGGCUCACCAAGCCUUCGAUGGUUAGGGGUUCUGAGAGGAAGGUCCCCCACACUGGUACUGAGACACGGACCAGACUCCUACGGGAGGCAGCAGUGAGGAAGAUUGGUCAAUGGGCGAGAGCCUGAACCAGCCAAGUCGCGUGAAGGAUGACUGCCCUAUGGGUUGUAAACUUCUUUUACAAGGGAAUAAAAUGAGAUACGUGUAUUUUAUUGCAUGUACCUUGGGAAUAAGCAUCGGCUAACUCCGUG
rnacentral:rRNA from 1 species